GACGAACUGUCCUAACGUUGUUCGGAAUCACUGGGCUUAAAGGGCGCGUAGGCGGUCAGCACAAGUCAGUUGUGAAAUCUCCGGGCUUAACUCGGAAAGGUCAACUGAUACUGUGCGACUAGAGUGCAGAAGGGGCAACUGGAAUUCUCGGUGUAGCGGUGAAAUGCGUAGAUAUCGAGAGGAACACCAGCGGCGAAGGCGGCAUCCUGGACUGGUCCUGACACUCAGGAGCGAAAGCGUGGGGAGCGAUCCGG
rnacentral:rRNA from 1 species